rnacentral:rRNA from 1 species
GACGAACGCUGGCGGCGUGCUUAACACAUGCAAGUCGAACGGAAAGGCUCUGCUCUUGUGGGGUGCUCGAGUGGCGAACGGGUGAGUAACACGCGAGUAACCUGCCCUUGACUUUGGGAUAACUUCAGGAAACUGGGGCUAAUACCGGAUAGAAGCUCCUGCUGCACGGUGGGGGUUGGAAAGUUUCGGCGGUUGGGGAUGGACGCGCGGCUUAUCAGCGUGUUGGUGGGGUAGUGGCUUACCAAGGCUUUGACGGGUAGCCGGCCUGAGAGGGUGACCGGCCACAUUGGGACUGAGGAAGGGCCCAGACUGCUACGGGCGGCAGCAGUGGGGGAUAUUGCGCGAUGGGCGGAAGCCUGAUGCAGCAACGCCGCGUGCGAGAUGACGGUCUUCGGGUUGGAAGCCGCUUUCGCCUGUGACGAAGCGUGAGUGACGGUAAUGGGUAAAGAAGCACCGGCUAACUACGUG